AGCAUAUGUGUCAGCAGAAAUCUGAUGGUUGAUUUCCUCCUGUGUAACUACACAGGUGAAGGUGUCAGCCUUGGUUACAGGAGCUUGCACGAUGACGUCGUAGCUUCCUCCUCUUUCUGUGACCUGUGGUUCUUUAGCAGGAAGGAUGUUUCCAGCACUGUCCUUCCACUCUACUUUAGGUUGUGGAGAAGCACCUUCAACCUCACACUGCAGCAGCAACCCAUCAUCUGUUUUACGUGUUGUGAUAAACGGCUUUGGAGCUGCACCUGUGAACAUA